rnacentral:rRNA from 1 species
GGGGGGGGGGGGCAAGCGUUGUUCGGAAUUACUGGGCGUAAAGGGCGCGUAGGCGGUCCCGCAAGUCCUCCGUGAAAUCCCACAGCUCAACUGUGGAACUGCGAGGGAAACUGCAGGACUUGAGUCCGGGAGAGGAGAGUGGAAUUCCCAGUGUAGCGGUGAAAUGCGUAGAUAUUGGGAGGAACACCGGUGGCGAAGGCGGCUCUCUGGACCGGUACUGACGCUGAGGCGCGAAAGCUAGGGGAGCAAACGGGAUUAGAUACCCCGGUAGUCCUAGCCUUAAACGAUGAGCACUUGGUGUGGCGGGUAUCGACCCCUGCCGUGCCGAAGCUAACGCAUUAAGUGCUCCGCCUGGGGAGUACGGUCGCAAAGGCUG